CCAGGCAGCCCUAAGAAAAGCUUUUUAUGAGGUAAAAAGUUAAGACUUCAAGGGCAGCAGCGGUGGUAAAUGUCUUGUGACAUUCACUGCUGCAACUCCAGCUCUCCCCAGCGGCGCUGUACACUCCCGAGCCCUGGUUGCCGGGUACCUACAGCGGAGGCUCCGGUAUUCUUCACGUUAGAGACACACAGCUGAGGCUCUCCAGGAUCGCGUGGCCGCAAUUCGGGAGCUGAUUUACUUUGCCUGUGGUAGCACCCCCUAAAUGGUUAUGAAUAACGCAGAUGUGUUUUGAAUAAUACAAAUUGGGGUCAUUCUCGGAAUAAGAAUUAAACCUGUGCGACCAGUACUACAAUUAUUAACAUCCCCCUUCCAGCCUACAUCCCCCAGCCAGCCAACAUCACCACCAUCGGAAUGGGCAGCAGAGGCCCCAGGAGCCACUUCAGGGAGGUGGGCAAGUGGCAGAGGAGAAUGUUGCAGUUGGAGAUCCCACCAGUUUGCCUGGGAUUGUGGCCAGCUUGAAAACCAACCUGAGGGCCGUGCUGGCUGAUAUAGAAAAAUUGCAAAAACAUUUCAAAAAACAAAAAAACAAAAAGCUGUUCCCCCAAAAAUUUUAUUUUCACAAAUUCAUAAAAAUUGUAAAAAAAAAAAUGAGUAGCCCCAGCGUCAUGCGGUGGAUUUGGUAGAAGCCGGAGAGGACUUCCGCUCUUGGGAACUUGCCACAGCCUGUGACCUCUUUCCCCGUCCUCUUCCUCUCGCACCAAGGAAGGAGGAUCCUCGUUCUUUUUUUAAUUUAUGGGGCCGAAAGGA